AACUGAUCCCAGCUGUUAAAUACGCUGUUACAAACCUGAAACAGAAGAUACAGAAUGUUAAACAGUGCCAACAGAAAUGUGACAAAAUACAGUGCCUGAAAUCAUGGCUUUGCAUUGUAUAGCUUCUUGCUACUUGGAUUCAAAAAACAUACAUUUUAGAGGUAAAAGCUGAGAAGCUUCAAAUUAACAGAAGACUUGAUAUUUAUUUAUUAUUUUUUUAAGUAUGGUGAGAUGUUUUGAGUUGUGCAUGUGUAAGACACCUACAAAAUUCAUAAGUCAGUAGAGCAUUUGAAAGUUUUCUCAUCUGAUAUUCAUGUAAGUAUCAUACACCCAAUCAACACAUGUCUGGCACUAGAGUUUUGGGUGGAAAAAUAUUUAUGCAUUAAUAGGGGCCACUGAAAGUGUAAUACAGAUUGUUGUUUUACUGACAUUCUAGAUGCAGUACUACCGAACAACUUUUCCUUAUCAGCUUUCACUUGCUCAUGAUGUUGUGAGGUUUAACAUGCUAGGCUGAACUCUCCCAUUUUGUGAUUAAAAAAAAAAACCCACUUGAGUGAUUUCAGCAGAUAAAUCUUUUAAAACUCCAUGCCUCUGAUUCUCUUCCAGCCAAAAGUACUGCCUUAAUAUCAAACAUACUGUUUUAACAGAGCACAUGAGCUCCCUUCCCUUCAGCGGGCACUGGAGAUAAAUAAACAAAGAGAGACUGCAGAAAUAAAUGAGAUGCAGGGUAGAGGAGACAGAAGAGUGGGGUAGAGUCAAGGCUUGGAGUAAAAAAACCCACAGGCUAAGGAAAUUGUCCAUGGAAAUAUGUUUAGCUGUAGAAAGCAACAAGAACACACAUAUCAACACUCAUUCACUGCUGACAAACAAUUUUGAAACGGGAUGUUCUAUCUCUUCAUGAUUUUCAGUAACUGCAGAGAAAUGUGAUGCAGGGAGUAUCUGACAGGAUUAACUCAAGAGCAUGUCUGUGUAGUCAAGACAAACAUCUCAAUUUUUCUGCUGAAGUCUGCUAAAAUGGGUUGUAAUACUAUUGCCACACAUUUUUUCCCCCAGGCUUAUAUUUCAGAAAGACACCGCACUACAGUUUUUAAAAUACUGAUGUUAUAGAUAAGCACUCAAAAUUACUUAGUCAUACAUAAAGAUAAUGACUAUCAGCAAUGCCCAGGCACAUAAUUACUGUUCUUGCCACACAGAAUCUAAUUCCGUACUCAAGGCAUACACCUGAAGAGCACAAAAGGACUCAUCAAGAAAGCACAACUUUUUCUCAUCUUUGUUCAGUGAACAAAGUUGUUCAAAUUUAGUUCUAAUGAGAAAAACUAAAAAUUUAUGCAAGAAUUGCUGCAGUUUCUGCAGGCUGAAGGGACACAAAUCCACAUUCACAACAUCUGUGAGAGGACGAGGAAGUUUACAAAAUGAGUCAUGACUUGAGUCAGCUCUUCAAAAGUGAAGUAAGAUUUUUAAACGUCAGUUACAUAUAGUGACCAAGUACCCUAGCAAUCUCAAUAGCAUUUAUUUUGCUAAAAAAAUACACUGCCAUAAUAAAUUUCAAUUGCUUUCCAAACAAAAUCAGUAUGUUUGGUAUCACAACAGAGAAUAAUAGAACAAGAAAUUAAAUAAUUUGUAUUUUGGACUUUGGGCUUCACUUCUAGUGAACAUGCUCAGAAGUGGGAAAGGCCUAGGUCGCUGUGUCAAGAGUCUUGUAAAGGAAGCAGCCUACCCAGAAGAAUCUCUAUGUUUGUUGAUAAAUAUACUGUAAAGAUGUGGCCAACAGGAUUAUUCUGCAGAAAAAGAAAUGAAAAUUGAAUAUAAAAGGGCAAAAAAGCUGAUGUAGAGUCAUAAAUCUCAUUUAGAAGAAAACCAGUGUAACAAUUACAGUAGCUUUUAAGGUAUUUGUGGAAAUUAUGUUACUAUUCUGGCAAAAUAUUCUAUAGAAAUAGGAGCUAAUUUCACACAUUUCAUCUGAUAAUAGUUACAAUUAAAGAAUCAACAUAAGUCAAUAUACAAAGUGACAUAUUAAAAAAGGAAGAAUUUAAAUAGUACAACCUUUUAUUUUCAGAAAUAACAGCUAAUGCUUGAAACUGAGCUCCAGAAAAUGAAGCUGGUACAGAUUGAUUGUGAAAUAACAGUGCAUCAAUACUAAAACAAAAAAAACCCCUGCGUCCAACUUUCCUCCAAAAUACAUGGAAGAGAAAGCACAGAGGGACAUAAAUGGGCACAAGCAAGAUAAAAAUUCCUCUCAGUUUGGCCACUUCAUUUCAACCAUGGUACCAAACACAGAAGCCAGCUAAGGGCAACAGCAGGGGAAGCUGAAAGUAGGUCUUUUUAUCAUCCUUAUUAUCAUGCCUUAGGAGACCACAGUUAAAUGCUGAUAUCUGCUCUGAUUUAACCUUAAGGCUUUUGAAAAUGGUAAACUGUAAGUAAUUAGAUUGCCUACAUUAUACUUGUUACAUCAAUUUAUAUUUAGUAAGUAUUCUGUACCUCUUGUGAUGUGCUAACUUGCUUUAAAUCAAAAAUACUUUCUUUGCAAGAGCAACCAACAUAUUAAAUAGUUUGGAUUACUGUGGUUAUCUGCCACAAUUUUUUUUCUGAAUAGAUUUUUGCUAACUAGCACCUGUUUGAAUUGCUUGUAAUGGAGAAACACUCCCUGCUUUACGGGGGAUAAGGGCUUCCCAAAGCUUGUUUAUAAAAGGAACUUUUAAGAGACUAUUGGGAACAGACUGGACACUGCCACAUAUCAGUACUCAGAAGUCCCAUACACAGAUACAUUCUAAUUAAAUUAAGACAUUAAAAUUAAAUUAAAAGGCUUAAUUAAAUUAAAAGGCCUUAACAGUAACAAGCUGCAAAAGAAAUAGAGCUGCUACCCUCCAUUAAAUUUUUACUUAUGACUCAUGACUGGCAUAUUAAAUUAAAACAUCAGGAAGGUCAAGAUGACAUGUAUUUUACAUUCAGUUACUGUGUCAUUUUCAGUGUCUGUUCAGUCAGCUGACUUCAGUGAGAUGUAGAAGUAAUCUCCUAUACUAAAAAGAAGGAGGGAGGGCCACAAAUCACUUUGUACUCAAAAGAUUUUUUGCUACCCAGAUUUCAAAGAGGCAGAUUUCACAGUAAAAAAAGUGUACUAUAAUGAAUAGGAAUGUUUUGCCAGUUUUAGUAAAUUUGCUUAAUUAACCAAGAAAAUUCAAAUCAUAGAUGAGAGGAGACAAGAGCAAACAUAAAACUUUUCAAACAUGAUGGUACAAGACAUAAUUCUUUGAGGGUAUUUUAUGUCUAAUAGGCAUUUGCUCAGAAGUUCUGUUUGAUAAAGAAACUCUCUAGACUGUAUUCCACAAAGAAGACUGUGAUUCAAAUAAUAUUUCAACAGAAAUAUUUACUAGAAAAUUUUGAAAAUAAAAGUGGUUCCUCAGUUUGGUAUUUCUGAGGAAAGGAACAUGACUUAAGGGAGUAUUUAACAAAAGCUCUAAGAUUUAAUACACUUGACAGAGAAGAUCCCUUACUGCUUUCUGCUUUUAGGUGCCUAUUUUUAAUUGACUCAAUCCUCCAAAAGUUUCCAACAUCAAUGGAAAACAAAAAAAACAUGAACAAACAAAAAGACGUACCACCAUUUUAGUUAUAACUAGAAGCCAAGUAUUUCUAGCACUCAGGACUCAUUUAUUUUCUUCAGCAUAUUAUCUAUUUCCCCAAAACAUGCAAAAGCCCAAAAUACUAGAAUGAAGGCCACAAGCACAGGACUGUAGCAGUGUUCUUACCUGUGUGCUUACGAAGGUGCUCUUUAAAAUGCCCAAAAUGGUCAAACUGCUUGUCACAGUACUGGCAUACAUGUAUUUUCUUGCCAGGUCUUUGCUUCUUGCUGGCACCACCUUCAUCAAGGUGGUAACAGGUGAGGUGCUGUUUCAAAGCACUCUCUCGUAGGUAUCUUUUAUUGCAUAUGUCACAUUUGUAAUUCUCAGUAGAAUGUGUUUUCAUGUGUUCCUUAAAAUGGUAAAACAAUUUAAAUGAACGGUUACAUUUCUCACAGUGGAAUAAAUUGUUCAUGUGUGACAGCUGAAGUUCCACAAUUUCAAUACCUUCUACCUGUUUGCACGAGGGGUCAGUUGUACUAUCACCUUCUUCUUGCAUCUGGCAUUUUCUCUCUCCCUGACGAUACUUGCUGGUGAUAUCUGCCAAAAGAGCCAAAGCAGAUUCAUCUGAUGUACCUGUUGUCUGUAUGUACUUUAUGGAUUGCUCUGCAGAAGCUACUUCUUCAAGGGUUUCAAUGC